rfam:Gossypium hirsutum cultivar TM-1 unplaced genomic scaffold scaffold251.1, whole genome shotgun sequence
UGUUAAAAAUCUCAUCCAUUCCUAUUGUUAAAAAUUAACGUAAUUAUGGAAUAACCAGACAUUUACACACGGUGUGCCAAGUGUACCUCAUGCGGAAGUUUAGAGACCCAUUUUUAAUAGUAGAAAUGGAUGAAAAUUUUAAUA